rnacentral:rRNA from 1 species
GGGGGGACCAUCCUCCAAGGCUAAAUACUCCUGACUGACCGAUAGUGAACCAGUACCGUGAGGGAAAGGCGAAAAGAACCCCGGCGAGGGGAGUGAAAAAGAACCUGAAACCGUGUACGUACAAGCAGUGGGAGCCUCUUAAUGGGGUGACUGCGUACCUUUUGUAUAAUGGGUCAGCGACUUAUAUUCUGUAGCAAGGUUAACCGAAUAGGGGAGCCGAAGGGAAACCGAGUCUUAACUGGGCGUUAAGUUGCAGGGUAUAGACCCGAAACCCGGUGAUCUAGCCAUGGGCAGGUUGAAGGUUGGGUAACACUAACUGGAGGACCGAACCGACUAAUGUUGAAAAAUUAGCGGAUGACUUGUGGCUGGGGGUGAAAGGCCAAUCAAACCGGGAGAUAGCUGGUUCUCCCCGAAAGCUAUUUAGGUAGCGCCUCGUGAAUUCAUCUCCGGGGGUAGAGCACUGUUUCGGCAAGGGGGUCAUCCCGACUUACCAACCCGAUGCAAACUGCGAAUACCGGAGAAUGUUAUCACGGGAGACACACGGCGGGUGCUAACGUCCGUCGUGAAGAGGGAAACAACCCAGACCGCCAGCUAAGGUCCCAAAGUCAUGGUUAAGUGGGAAACGAUGUGGGAAGGCCCAGACAGCCAGGAUGUUGGCUUAGAAGCAGCCAUCAUUUAAAGAAAGCGUAAUAGCUCACUGGUCGAGUCGGCCUGCGCGGAAGAUGUAACGGGGCUAAACCAUGCACCGAAGCUGCGGCAGCGACACUAUGUGUUGUUGGGUAGGGGAGCGUUCUGUAAGCCUGUGAAGGUGGCCUGUGAGGGUUGCUGGAGGUAUCAGAAGUGCGAAUGCUGACAUAAGUAACGAUAAAGCGGGUGAAAAGCCCGCUCGCCGGAAGACCAAGGGUUCCUGUCCAACGUUAAUCGGGGCAGGGUGAGUCGACCCCUAAGGCGAGGCCGAAAGGCGUAGUCGAUGGGAAACAGGUUAAUAUUCCUGUACUUGGUGUUACUGCGAAGGGGGGACGGAGAAGGCUAUGUUGGCCGGGCGACGGUUGUCCCGGUUUAAGCGUGUAGGCUGGUUUUCCAGGCAAAUCCGGAAAACCAAGGCUGAGGCGUGAUGA